GCCAGGGAUGCUGGGCCAGGCUCAUGGUCUCCUGGACCAGACACAGGGAAUUCUCCUUCUUUAUGUUUUUCUGACAAUGGAAGGCACCAUGGGACAAGACGUGCAGCAGCCCCCUGCGUUGAUGGCUCUGGAAGGAGCCUCUGUGAAGGUGAACUGUACAUUCCAGACAACUGGCUUCAAUGGGCUGUCCUGGUACCAGCAAAGUGAUGGUGGAGCGCCCGUCUUUCUCGCUUACAAUGUUCUGGAUGGGUUGGAGAAGAAAGGUCAUUUUUCUUCCUUCCUCAGUUGCUCUAAUACAUAUAGUUACCUCCUUCUGACGGGGCUCCAGAUCAAAGACUCUGCCUCCUACUUCUGUGCUGUGAGAGACACGGUGAAGAUGAGCCCCCUUCAGCUGUAACAAAAUUCAAAAGACCACACGGCAGCGAGAAGUGAGAUUUCCUGAGUCUACACCUGAUGCAAACUCUGCCGACAGCCUGCGGCUUUGGAAACAGACUGCUAGGAUUUGAA